GAGGACACAAAGCGGCAGACAUUCAGUCUCUGGUGCUUGCUUGUGGCCUCCGAGGACCUAGGCCUACCUCCAGCUUCUGGUGCAUUCCCUUCAGAGCUCCUGAGAAACCCUGGUCAGCCUCACAGCCCCCAGCAAGCUCUCCUUUCCAAGACACUCAGCAAUUCCCCGGGUUACCGGCUCAGUUUACCUUGAGCCUACUUACCUGGUCAGCAGGCCUUGCGUCUGAUUUUCUUAACUCGACUACGGUAAGAAGAUGCCCUCCAUCAGCAGGCCGUGUCUGCUGGCGCCUCUCUGGAGACUUCCUGAACCCUGUGGAUUUACAGUAAGAUGCAGUUUCCUGGGGAGUAAUUCUGGUGGAUACAAAUUCCGGAGUAUUACACCUGGCUUGCCUGGAGAUGUUACAAGUAACUGGAUGGAUUGAUUCUUCAGCCUGGAUGCCCACUGAAAACAAGGACCGAAACUGAGAGGAUUGUAUCUCUACCCUUGACUCAAUGAGAAUGUUUGUUGUCAUCUCUCGGGCUACCUGGAGCUCCCUCUAAAAUGUAAGCCCCCAAGACCCAUCUCCUUUCAAUGCAGUGUUUCUGGUAUGUUCCUGUCUUUAUACCAAGCUGUCCUGGAUGCUGGUUGAAGGCUGUUUGUUGAUGUGGCUGCUAGGAAGAGAUCUGCUGUCUUCCGUGUCUGUCUAUGUGUCUGGUAUGACGCUGGGCGCCUGUGGGAGAAAGACAAAAAAUAGAAGUUGUUUGAGUUAA
rnacentral:lncRNA from 1 species